ACGGAAGGCAGCAGUGAGGAAUAUUGGUCAAUGGGCGGAAGCCUGAACCAGCCAAGUCGCGUGAAGGAUGAAGGUAUUAUGUAUUGUAAACUUCUUUAGCAGCAGAGUAAUAAGGGGGUCGUGACCCCCGAUGCAAGUAUGCUGAAAAUAAGGAUCGGCUAACUCCGUGCCAGCAGCCGCGGUAAUACGGAGGAUCCGAGCGUUAUCCGGAUUUAUUGGGUUUAAAGGGUGCGCAGGCGGUUUUUUAAGUCAGUGGUUAAAUCGUGAGGCUCAACCUCAUCACGCCAUUGAUACUGGAAGACCUGAUUGCGGUUGAGGUUGGCGGAAUUCGUCGUGUAGCGGUGAAAUGCAUAGAUAUGACGAAGAACACCGAUUGCGUAGGCAGCUGACCAAGCCGUAAAUGACGCUCAUGCACGAAAGUGCGGGGAUCGAACAGGAUUAGAUACCCUGGUA
rnacentral:rRNA from 1 species